UCGAAUAAAACUCGGAGCCUGCUGAGCGCGGGAGCUGGCACUUAUUUAUUGAGAAUUUGCUAUGUCCCAGCCUUGCCCUAGAAGCUUACAAACAUUAUUUCACUUAAUCCUCACUGUAUUCCUGUCGCAUUUUGCAGAAGAGAACCAGGCUGAGAGAAGUUAAGUGACGUGCCCAAGGAUACACAGGAACUAUGUACUGAAGAUUUGGGGGCAAAAGAGGACCACAUCUGCAACUAACUGGAGAUGGUUCAGAAGAUGAUGCACACACACUCAAGCAUAUCGAGAGAGAAAGGGGCAGAGGACACAGAAGGCCCUGAGUUUAAUGUGCAUGUUUUGGG
rnacentral:lncRNA from 1 species